CUACGGGUGGCACCAGUCGAGAAUCAUUCGCAAUGCGCGAAAGCGUGACGAUGCGACGCUGCGUGGAGGAUGAAGGCCCUCGGGUCGUAAACUCCUGUCAGGAGGGAAAAGCCGGCACUUGGUCAAUACCCUUGUGCCCCGAUGGUACCUCCAGAGGAAGCCACGGCUAGCUCUGUGCCAGCAGCCGCGGUAAUACAGAGGUGGCGAGCGUUGUUCGGAUUUACUGGGCGUAAAGGGUGCGUAGGCGGCGUGCAAAGCUGGAUGUGAAAUCCCGGGGCUCAACCCCGGAACUGCAUCCGGAACUGGCAUGCUAGAGACCAGGAGGGGAGAGCAGAAUUCUAGGUGUAGCGGUGAAAUGCGUUGAUAUCUAGAAGAAUACCGGUGGCGAAGGCGGCUCUCUGGAAUGGUUCUGACGCUGAGGCACGAAAGCGUGGGGAGCAAACAGGAUUAGAUACCCUUGUAGUC
rnacentral:rRNA from 1 species